GUUAAAUGGAAUCAGUAGGAGAAGGAAGGAAGUUUUAUUUCCCGUCAGGGUUUUUUCUGUUGUUCUGUCGGUAAACGAGGUCGCUCGUAAACUGAUCAGUCUGAAGAAUCGCAUAAAGGUGAGCCUCAUAUUUCUGUGAGAUAUGGCCUCUUCAAUGACUACUGAGGCGAAUGGAGUGAGGGUAGUGACUCAUGUUAUCCCACUGGAGGAAAAAACGGAGUCUUCGGACCUAAAGUCAAGCUCGGUUGAACUUGAAAAGUCCAACCUGUCACCAAAAACCAAGAUGUUCCUAAAGGGGAAGCCUCUGUCGCUGGGGUUGGUGCAGGUGUUUAUUGGUUUGGUGGUCAUGACUCUGUGCACCAUCACGGUGCUUGUGGAUAUGCUGAAUGUUAGGACUGUAAUGUCCCUUGGACUUCCUGUGAGUAAACAUUUUGAGCCCUAAUAACACAAAAUAUU